UCUUAGCAGCACCCCCUUUGAAUUCAUAGUUGCCAACCUCAUAGUUGCCUCAACGUCGUCCUCCCAUACCUGUUUGAUAUAUUGGGUUCUCUCCAUUUUUUUUAGACGGCAUUUUGCUCUUGUUACCCAGGCUGGAGUGCAAUGGCGAAGUCUUGGCUCAGCUCACCACAACCUCCACCUCCUGGGUUCAAGGGAUUCUCCUACCUCAGUCUCACAAGUAGGUGGGACUACGUGUGAGCCACCAGGCCUGGCCCAAAUGUUCCCUUUUUGUAAGGUCACCAGUCGUGUUGGAGUAAGGCCACUCUAAUGACCUCAUUUUAGCUUGAUUACCUCUUUACAGACCCUCGCCCCAAAUAGCCGCACAUUCUGAGGGACUGAAAGUUAGGACUUCAUCAUAUGAAUUUAGGGGAGAAGACACAAUUCAAUCUGUAACAGCCAGUAAGACCUAAAACUUCAGUGUUCUAAUGGCUUACACGGAGGCUUGUCAAAAAUAGAGGCUCACACCACUUUCUCUAAUCUCAGCACUUUGGAGACCAAGGUGGGGAAAUCACUUGAGCCCAGGAGUAUGAGUUCAGCCUGGACAACAUAGCAAGACCCCAUCUCUACAAAAAAUACAAAAAUCAGCCAGGUGUCAUAGUGCGCAGCUGUGGUCCCAGCUACUCGAGAGGCUGAGGGGUGGAAGAUUGCUUGAUCCCAGGAGGUUGAGGCUGCAGUGAGCUGAGAUGGCACCAAUGGACUCCAGCCUGGGCAACAGAGAGAGACUCUGUCUCAAAAACGAAACCAGGCAGGAUGUGGUGGCUCACGCCUGUAAUCCCAGCACUUUGGGAGACCAAGAUGGGUGGAUCACCUGAGGCCAGGAGUUUGAGACCAGCUUGGGCAACACGGUGAAAACUCAUCUCUACUGAAAAUACAAAAAUUAGCCAGGUGUGGUGACACAUGCCUGUAGUCCCAGCUACUCGGGAGGCUGAGGCACGAGAAUCACUUGAAGCUGGGAGGUGGAGGCAGAGGCUGCGGUGAGCCGAGAUGGCGCUGGUGAGCUGAGAUGGCACCACUGCACUCCAGCCUGAGCAACAGAGCAGAACCUUGUCUCAGAAAAAAACAAAACAAAACAAAAACUAGAGGUACCAGUGACCCUCCUACAGAUUCUGAUUUAAUAGAUGUGGGGAUUUAAUAGGUGUUUAGACUCCCUCAAAAACAAGAAAAGGAUGGGGGAUAGAUUUAAUAGGUGUGGGGUGGAGGCCAGGACUCUGAUUUUGAA
rnacentral:lncRNA from 1 species